rnacentral:rRNA from 1 species
CGCGUAGGCGGGAUGGCAAGUCAGUCGUGAAAUCUCUCGGCUCAACCAAGAAACGUCGGCUGAUACUGCCGUUCUUGAGGGAUGCAGAGGAGACUGGAAUUCCCGGUGUAGCGGUGAAAUGUGUAGAGAUCGGGAGGAACACCGGUGGCGAAGGCGGGUCUCUGGGCAUUUCCUGACGCUGAGGCGCGAAAGCGUGGGGAGCAAACG